rnacentral:rRNA from 1 species
CGAAUGGCGGCGUGCUACACAUGCAGUCCGACGUGAAAGGGGAGCAAUCCCCCGGUAGGGUGGCAAACGGGUGAGUAAGACAUGGGUGAUCUGCCCUGGAGAUGGGGAUAUCCCUCCGAAAGGGGGGGCAAUACCGAAUAGUAUCCGGUUCCGUGAAGGGGGCCGGGGAAAGGGAGGCCUCUGGUACAAGCUUCCGCUCCUGGAUGAGCCCAUGGCCCAUCAGCUAGUUGGUAGGGUAAAGGCCUACCAAGGCGACGACGGGUAGCUGGUCUGAGAGGACAACCAGCCACACUGGCACUGAGACACGGGCCAGACUCCUACGGGAGGCAGCAGUGAGGAAUAUUGCGCAAUGGGGGCAACCCUGACGCAGCAACGCCGCGUGUGGGAAGAAGGCUUUCGGGUUGUAAACCACUUUUGCCCGGGACGAAAGGGGGGACCUGAAUAAGGUUGCCCGAUGACGGUACCGGGAGAAUAAGCCACGGCUAACUCUGUGCCAGCAGCCGCGGUAAGACAGAGGUGGCAAGCGUUGUUCGGAGUUACUGGGCGUAAAGAGUCUGUAGGUGGUCUGUCAAGUCUUUGGUGAAAGGCCGUGGCUUAACCAUGGGAAUGCCAAAGAGACUGGCAGACUGGAGGCUGGGAGAGGGAAGCGGAAUUUCUGGUGUAACGGUGAAAUGCGUAUAUAUCAGAAGGAAGGCCGGUGGCGCGGCGGCUUCCUGGAACAGACCUGACACUGAGAGACGAAAGCGUGGGGUGCAUCUGGAUUAGAUACCUUGGUAUGUAUGCCCUAACUUGGGUACUAAGUGUGAGAAUGUUAACGUCGCGUGGACCAACAUGUCUCAAGUAGGCGGUAGGGCAGACUUCACCGGUGCG